rnacentral:rRNA from 1 species
GAUGAACGCUGGCGGCGUGCCUAAUACAUGCAAGUCGAACGCAUUGAGAGAAGUGCUUGCACUUUUCAAUUUGAGUGGCGAACGGGUGAGUAACACGUGGGCAACCUACCUGAUAGCGGGGGAUAACGAGUGGAAACAUUCGCUAAUACCGCGUAACAAUAGAGAAGGCAUCUUCUUUAUUUAAAAGGCGCUUUCAAGCGUCACUAUCAGAUGGGCCCGCGGUGCAUUAGUUAGUUGGUGGGGUGAAGGCCCACCAAGACGAUGAUGCAUAGCCGAGUUGAGAGACUGAUCGGCCACAUUGGGACUGAGACACGGCCCAAACUCCUACGGGAGGCUGCAGUAGGGAAUCUUCCACAAUGGACGAAAGUCUGAUGGAGCAACGCCGCGUGUGUGAUGAAGGCUUUCGGGUCGUAAAGCACUGUUGUAUGGGAAGAAAUGCUAGGCUAGGAAAUGAGCUUAGUUUGACGGUACCAUACCAGAAAGGGACGGCUAAAUACGUGCCAGCCGCCGCUGUAA